AACAUUAAACAUUCCAGGGCCAUACUUGUACUUACAUGGGUUUGUAUGAAAAUCACUGUUUGUUUUAUUUUUAAAAUGAGCAAUUAUCAUCAAAAAAUCAACAUGGAAUCCAAUCAUUUUGUCGCUCGUUAUGAGUUAAAGGAUCAUACGGAUCAGAAAAACACAUGUUUUUCCAUUGUGGUCACCACGAGUUUUAUGUACUUGAUGAAAUCCUAUCACUGCAAAAAUACAGGGCGUGCUUAAGUAAGUUCUUUUUGUAUUUUAUUCCAGGUGUGUAUGCAUAUGUUCGGGAUUUUACUUUGUAUUCCCGAAUAUGGUCCUUAUGCAAACAAGAGAAAGAUGUAUGCGAAGAUCUGUAGAACAAUUUUAUCAUCUGAGUUCUACCUGAUGAUGGGGCCAGAAAAAGACCUGAAACGCUGUAUCAAACAAUAAAAAAGAAGAUGAAAUCCAGAAUAGCCUGUAUGCUCAUCUAAUAGCAUCUUCUAAAAUGCCAAUCAAACAUCUGAUGCAGUUUUAGUUUGGAAACGUUUUCUUUGAAUUUUUCCAUCACAGCACUCUAUAAAUUACGUAAGUUGUAUUACACCACGUAUGUUCAUGAUGUUGUCACCAAUAUGUGUAUAUGUAUACAUUGCCGAUUUAGUUGCACUCAACGACUAGCAAUUGCAUGCUGGGAACACAUCCGACCUCGGGUCUUCAUGGAAAUUUCUAAGAUAUUUUAUUUAUCCAUGUGUUUUGAUUUGUCUGAUGUUUGCUUCACUAUAUUCGUUUUGAUAGGGAGCUCUACAUCGACAUGCUGUUCUUGUUCAAAGUGAGCAUAACACAAUGAUAACAUUGUAUUCGUGUUGACGAGAGCUCUACAUCGACAUGCUGUUCUUGUUCAAAGUGAACAUAGCACAAUGAUAACAUUGUAUUCGUGUUGACGUGGGGCUCAAAAUCUGCAUUG